UCCGACAUGCUCAGUCGGUAGAGCAUGAGACUCUUGAUUACAGGGUCGUGGGUUCAAGCGCUGUAGGCU